rnacentral:rRNA from 1 species
GAUGAACGCUGGCGGCGUGCCUAAUACAUGCAAGUCGAGCGAACGGACGAGAAGCUUGCUUCUCUGAUGUUAGCGGCGGACGGGUGAGUAACACGUGGAUAACCUACCUAUAAGACUGGGAUAACUUCGGGAAACCGUAGCUAAUACCGGAUAAUAUUUUGAACCGCAAGGUUCAAAAGUGAAAGACGGUCUUGCUGUCACUUAUAGAUGGAUCCGCGCUGCAUUAGCUAGUUGGUAAGGUAACGGCUUACCAAGGCAACGAUGCAUAGCCGACCUCAGAGGGUGAUCGGCCACACUGGAACUGAGACACGGUCCAGACUCCUACGGGAGGCAGCAGUAGGGAAUCUUCCGCAAUGGGCGAAAGCCUGACGGAGCAACGCCGCGUGAGUGAUGAAGGUCUUCGGAUCGUAAAACUCUGUUAUUAGGGAAGAACAUAUGUGUAAGUAACUGUGCACAUCUUGACGGUACCUAAUCAGAAAGCCACGGCUAACUACGUG